rnacentral:rRNA from 1 species
CAGCCGCCGCGGGAAAACGUAGGGUCCGAGCGUUGUCCGGAAUUAUUGGGCGUAAAGAGCUCGUAGGCGGUUUGUCGCGUCUGCUGUGAAAACCCGAGGCUCAACCUCGGGCCUGCAGUGGGUACGGGCAGACUAGAGUGCGGUAGGGGAGAUUGGAACUCCUGGUGUAGCGGUGGAAUGCGCAGAUAUCAGGAGGAACACCUGUGGCGAAAGCGGCUCACUGGACCAUAACUGACGCUGAGGCACGAAAGCUAGGGGAGCAAACAGGAUUAGAUACCCCUGUAGUCCCUGUCUCUUAUAC